CACUAGAUGAGUAGCCAUUACAAAGUAAUUCAUCCCUUGACAAAAGAAUCCAGUGCUGGGUUCCUUUGAAUAGCAAAUCUUUUCAGUACAUUCAAAAUUGAUGCAACAUACCAAGAUCCAGUUUAUACCCAACUUUUCAGGAAUACAGCUUGUGUAAAAAGCAAGACAUGUCUGAUUUGGUAGACAGCCAUUCUCUCCACGGAGUCCAUUUUUCCAGAUCCAAAAGCUAGGGACUAUCUGAGGUGGCCUCGACUUUGCUGAAGAAUGAAAAUUCAGAUUUCCCCCAGGGAUCUUGACACUGAGCCUGUGAUCUGGACUGGAGAGGAAGUGCUGGCCCUCCAGGAAAAUCAUCUGUGGCCUGUAGCCCAGGCCAGGCCUCUCCACCUAAGCUCAAAUGCACCUCCCCUGCAGGAAAGACAACAAACAAGAAGCAGAGAAUGGCAUAACUGUAUCCAACCACCUGCUGGACAGUGUGUAGAAACCAUAUUGCACAACCACAUUUAGCCUCGAGCUGUCCUCCAACAACACUCCAUACUCUUCAAAACCAAUGUUCAUGACACUCAGCAAUCUCAAACUGGAACAACUGCUACAGUCCAUUUUUCACAGAAAUUUGGGUUCACAGUACAAGACAAGAUGAGGAAACUGAAAAUCCAUCUGUAAACUCUACAGAAGCAUCGAGGAAAUCUAUCUUAUCACCCGUUAUGUAUCUAGUACUAACAAUGCCUAGCACAUGCUGCAUGACAGAGUGCUGUUGUCUCGCCAUUGGCUAUCCUUGAAGACUAUGUUGCAACUGGCACCCGAGCCACAGUCCAGAUCCACAGUGCAGCGUGACACUAGCCUGCAGAGAUGCGCAAAUCAUAUCUAAAGCCAGCACUGAUCACUGGAACCAAGCUCCAUGUCAACCAGCCUGAGUUAAAGAACCUAAGUCACACAACAAAAGUGUGCACAAUUUUCCCGCAGAACAUCAUGAGGGGACCAAGGGCUCUGAGGCUUCAUCAUCAGUGAAAACAGAGCACCAGGGUAUGAGCCCCCUGACAAGGGUCUCAGGAAGGCCGGCCCCACAGCCAGAACCAACCAAGCUGUGACUGGCAGGUGCCAAGGGACACACUGGGAGCUGAGCACUCUCAGGUACUUCUUUACUUCUUGGUACUUUCCUGGACCUUCUCCAGACAGUUUCCUGGCAGAAUAAUAGCUAAGUUCAACCCAGGACAGUUUGUGGAUUAUCACGUCUCCUGAAGCUCCACAGACAUCCCUCCUCCGUGCGUCAUGGCAGUCUUCUUUAUGGGUGAAUUCAUAACCCACACACAAGUGAAUUUUUAAUAGAGACAUGUAUAAAUGUUCUUCAACUAGCAGAGCUUAAAACCAAUAAACAUGUAUUUUAUAGGUUCAGUGAAGUGCUG
rnacentral:lncRNA from 10 species